rnacentral:lncRNA from 1 species
UGUCUCACUUUGAAUUCUUUUAUAUGUUUCUGGUUUAAAACUUAAUGUCUGGGAUGUUCCACCUUCGUAUUCAUCCAUUUGGUAAUAGUCUUUUUCCGUUAUUUCUUCUUUUUUGUCCAUUAAUAAAAAUAAAUAUAUGUCUUCUUAUUAAUCUCCUUUAUAUGUUUAUUUAUAGUUUCUUUUACUAAAUCUAUAUUUUGUCUAUCUAUUUCUUUACCUAAUUCUGGAUAAGUUUUAUACGAUUGACUAUUUACAAUUUCAUUUAAAUAAUCUAGCAUU